rnacentral:rRNA from 1 species
UACGAAGGGGGCUAGCGUUGUUCGGAAUUACUGGGCGUAAAGCGCACGUAGGCGGAUAUUUAAGUCAGGGGUGAAAUCCCGGGGCUCAACCCCGGAACUGCCUUUGAUACUGGUAGUCUUGAGUCCGGGAGAGGUGAGUGGAACUGCGAGUGUAGAGGUGAAAUUCGUAGAUAUUCGCAAGAACACCAGUGGCGAAGGCGGCUCACUGGCCCGGUACUGACGCUGAGGUAGCGAAAGCGUGGGGAG